rnacentral:rRNA from 1 species
GAUGAACGCUGGCGGCGUGCCUAAUACAUGCAAGUCGAGCGAACGGACGAGAAGCUUGCUUCUCUGAUGUUAGCGGCGGACGGGUGAGUAACACGUGGAUAACCUACCUAUAAGACUGGGAUAACUUCGGGAAACCGGAGCUAAUACCGGAUAAUAUUUUGAACCGCAUGGUUCAAAAGUGAAAGACGGUCUUGCUGUCACUUAUAGAUGGAUCCGCGCUGCAUUAGCUAGUUGGUAAGGUAACGGCUUACCAAGGCAACGAUGCAUAGCCGACCUGAGAGGGUGAUCGGCCACACUGGAACUGAGACACGGUCCAGACUCCUACGGGAGGCAGCAGUAGGGAAUCUUCCGCAAUGGGCGAAAGCCUGACGGAGCAACGCCGCGUGAGUGAUGAAGGUCUUCGGAUCGUAAAACUCUGUUAUUAGGGAAGAACAUAUGUGUAAGUAACUGUGCACAUCUUGACGGUACCUAAUCAGAAAGUCACGGCUGACUACGUG